CUGCCCUAUGAGGAAUUAAAUGGCCGCGGUAUUUUGACCGUGCAAAGGUAGCAUAAUCAUUAGUUUUUUAAUUGAAAGCUGGAAUGAAAGGUCGGAUGAGAAAAUAACUGUCUCUAUUUAAAUUAAUUAGAAUUUUAUUUUUAAGUUAGAAAGCUUAAAUUAAAAUAGAAGACGAGAAGACCCUAUAGAGUUUUAUAUAUUUUUA
rnacentral:rRNA from 1 species